rfam:Kibdelosporangium phytohabitans strain KLBMP1111, complete genome.
CCGGCUCCGGUUCACCCCGCGGAUCCACCAGGGGACCCGGCGGCC